rnacentral:rRNA from 1 species
GACGAACCGUGCGAACGUUGUUCGGAAUCACUGGGCUUAGAGGGCGCGUAGGCGGACGUCCAAGUCCGGGGUGAAAUCCCCCGGCUCAACCGGGGGACUGCCUGGGAUACUGGACGUCUCGAGGGAGGUAGGGGCGCGCGGAACUUCCGGUGGAGCGGUGAAAUGCGUAGAUAUCGGAAGGAACGCCGGUGGCGAAAGCGGCGCGCUGGACCUCUGCUGACGCUGAGGCGCGAAAGCCAGGGGAGCGAACGGG